GGGCCUUCGCUCAGUGGUUAGAGCAUCUGCUUUGAAUUCAGAAGACCCAGGUGCAAUCUCUGGGGUCUCCA